rnacentral:rRNA from 1 species
GACAGAGGGUGCAAACGUUGCUCGGAAUUACUGGGCGUAAAGCGCGUGUAGGCGGACCGAUGUGUCAGGUGUGAAAUCCCCGGGCUCAACCCGGGAACUGCACUUGAAACUGUCGGCCUUGAGUACCGGAGAGGGUGGCGGAAUUCCUGGUGUAGAGGUGAAAUUCGUAGAUAUCAGGAGGAACACCGGUGGCGAAGGCGGCCACCUGGACGGUUACUGACGCUGAGACGCGAAAGCGUGGGGAGCAAACAGG